rnacentral:rRNA from 1 species
GAUAGGCUAAUUAAGAGCGUAUGGGGAAUGCCUAGGCUCUCAGAGGCGAUGAAGGACGUGAUAAGCUGCGAAAAGCUACGGGGAGUGGCACAUACACUGUGAUCCGUAGAUAUCCGAAUGGGGCAACCCAAUACUUUGAAGAAGUAUUAUCCGAAAGGAAGCAAACCCGGAGAACUGAAACAUCUAAGUAUCCGGA